GACGGGGGAUGCGAGCGUUAUCCGGAAUGAUUGGGCGUAAAGGGUCCGCAGGUGGCCCGGUCAGUCCGCUGUCAAAGCCUGGGGCUCAACCCUGGAGAGGCGGCGGAGACCACCGGGCUUGAGUCCGGUAGGGGCAGAGGGAAUUCCCGGUGGAGCGGUGAAAUGCGUAGAUAUCGGGAGGAACACCCGUGGCGAAGGCGGCUCUCUGGACCAUAACUGACACUGAGGCACGAAAGCCGGGGGAGCAAACAGG
rnacentral:rRNA from 1 species